GACGAACGCUGGCGGCGUGCUUAACACAUGCAAGUCGAACGGAAAGUCCCUGCUUGUGUGGGGUGCUCGAGUGGCGAACUGGUGAGUAACACGUGAGUAACCUGCCCUGGACUUUGUGAUAACGUCAGGAGACUGGGGCUGAUACCGGAUAGUAGCUCCUGCUUCAUGUUGUGGGUUGGAAAGUUUCGGCGGUUGGGGAUGGACUCGCCGCUUAUCAGCUUGUUUGUGGGGUAGUGGCUUACCAAGUCUUUGACCGGUAGCCGGCCUGAGAGGGUGACCGGCCACACUGGGACUGAGCUGAGGCACAGACUAAUACGGGAGGCAGAAGUGGGGAAUAUUGCACAAUGGGCGGAAGCAUGACGCAGCACAGCCGCGUGCGGGAUGACGGCCUUCGGGUUGUAACCUGAUUUCGCGUGUGACGAAGAGUGAGUGACGGUAAUGGGUAAAGAAGCACCGGCUAACUACGUG
rnacentral:rRNA from 1 species